rnacentral:rRNA from 1 species
CUGACUGCUAUCGGAUUGGUACUAAGCCAUGCGAGUCAUUGUAGCAAUACAAGGCGGACGGCUCAGUAACACGUAGUCAACCUAACCUAUGGACGUGGAUAACCUCGGGAAACUGAGAAUAAACCGCGAUAGAUCAUUAUGCCUGGAAUGGCUUAUGGUUCAAACAAUUUAUUGCCGUAGGAUGGGACUGCGGCCUAUCAGCUUGUUGGUGAGGUAAUGGCCCACCAAGGCUAUAACAGGUACGGGCUCUGAGAGGAGAAGCCCGGAGAUGGGUACUGAGACACGGACCCAGGCCCUAUGGGGCGCAGCAGGCGAGAAACCUUAGCAAUGUGCGAAAGCACGACUAGGUUAAUCCGAGUGAUUCCUGUUGAAGGAAUCUUUUGUCAGUCGUAAAACCACAGACGAAUAAGGGGUGGGCAAGUCUGGUGUCAGCCGCCGCGGUAAUACCAGCACCUCGAGUGGUCAGGAGGUUUAUUGGGCCUAAAGCAUCCGUAGCCGGCUUUGCAAGUCUCCGGUUAAAUCCAGCUGCCCAACAGAUGGGCUGCCGGAGAUACUACACAGCUAGGGAGCGGGAGAGGCAGACGGUAUUCUGUGGGUAGGGGUAAAAUCCAUUGAUCCAUAGAGGACCACCAGUGGCGAAGGCGGUCUGCCAGAACGCGUUCGACGGUGAGGGAUGAAAGCUGGGGGAGCAAACCGGAUUAGAUACCCGGGUAGUCCCAGCUGUAAACGAUGCAAACUCGGUGAUGCAUUGGCUUAUGGCCAAUGCAGUGCCGCAGGGAAGCCGUUAAGUUUGCCGCCUGGGAAGUACGGACGCAAGUCUGAAACUUAAAGGAAUUGGCGGGGGAGCA